UCUAUUGAUAUUUUGUUUAUGGUUUCUAUUAAGUUGUAUAAUAAUUGCAUGAUAGUCAUAGCGUAAACAAACUAUAAAUAAAACUUGAAACUUUAGUUUGUUCUAAAAUGUUGAAUUCAAUAGAACAUAUGUUGUGUUGCCUAAGACUUAUUGCCAGCGUUUGUUCGAUGGCUAGGAAGGAGGAAUCUUUCAAGCGAUGAUCGUGUAAUGCUAUUAAAAGAAAGAGAGUAGAUGGAGAACUAAUUGACUACGUCAACUUGAUUUCACGGUAGCUUGCACUUGAAAGUCCUUUCCUAAAAAACCACCAAAUUCAGGAAGGAGGAAUCUUUCAAGCGAUGAUCGUGUAGUGCUAUUAAAAG